rnacentral:lncRNA from 1 species
AACAUUCGAAAUAACAAAAAUGGGAUAAGGGACUAAUUCGCAACGCACUGAAAAUAUCAGGGAGCGAAAGAGCAAAUGUCCCAGGCCCAGCGUUUCGCGCGGGACCAAGCUGAAACAAAAAUAAAAUUAUGCAGAAAAAUUAAAAUAAAAUAAAAUAAAGAAAAAGGGCCAAACAGCAACACGUCGUAAAAGCGGGAGGUCCGCGCGCGAA